rnacentral:misc_RNA from 1 species
AAGUCGUAACAAGGUAACCGUAGGUGAACCUGCGGUUGGAUCAUUAACAAUGCAUUCAGGUGUUCCUGGUUGAGCUGUUGAAGUUCUCAGGAUCCUGAUAUUUGCUACCCCUUUUCUGUGCACUGUAAACUGUCUCUGGCGGUCGUAGGAAGUAAGCAAGCAAACCUUCUUGCUGCUCCCUCUAGUUCAUUUGCUUUCCACUACUGCAAAUGAAUGAAGCCGCCAAAUGUUUUUUGACAUACAAUUGUUUUUUUUUUUUGUUUUCAUGUCUGACCACAAAGCCAUGGGCAUUAUGCAAAUGCUAUAUGACAACUUUUGGCAACGGAUCUCUUGGCUCUC